rnacentral:tRNA from 1 species
GGCGGCGUAGCUUAGUUGGCUAGAGCGUCCGGUUCAUACCCGGAAGGUCGAUGGUUCGAGUCCAUCCGCCGCUACCA